UACGUAGGUGGCAAGCGUUAUCCGGAAUUAUUGGGCGUAAAGAGCGCGCAGGUGGUUGAUUAAGUCUGAUGUGAAAGCCCACGGCUUAACCGUGGAGGGUCAUUGGAAACUGGUCGACUUGAGUGCAGAAGAUGGAAGUGGAAUUCCAUGUGUAGCGGUGAAAUGCUUAGAGAUGUGGAGGAACACCAGUGGCGAAGGCGACUCUCUGGUCUGUAACUGACGCUGAGGUGCGAAGGCGUGGGUAGCAAACAGGAUUAGA
rnacentral:rRNA from 1 species